UACAGAGGUCCCAAGCGUUGUUCGGAUUCAUUGGGCGUAAAGGGUGCGUAGGCGGCGCGGUAAGUCGGGUGUGAAAUCUCGGGGCUUAACUCCGAAACUGCAUUCGAUACUGCCGUGCUUGAGGACUGGAGAGGAGACUGGAAUUUACGGUGUAGCGGUGAAAUGCGCAGAUAUCAGGAGGAACACCAAUGGCGAAGGCAGCACUCUGGGACGUGACUGACGCUGAGGCACGAAAGCGUGGGGAUCAAACAGG
rnacentral:rRNA from 1 species